GAUGAACGCUGGCGGCGUGCCUAAUACAUGCAAGUCGAGCGAACAGACGAGGAGCUUGCUCCUCUGACGUUAGCGGCGGACGGGUGAGUAACACGUGGAUAACCUACCUAUAAGACUGGGAUAACUUCGGGAAACCGGAGCUAAUACCGGAUAAUAUAUUGAACCGCAUGGUUCAAUAGUGAAAGACGGUUUUGCUGUCACUUAUAGAUGGAUCCGCGCCGCAUUAGCUAGUUGGUAAGGUAACGGCUUACCAAGGCAACGAUGCGUAGCCGACCUGAGAGGGUGAUCGGCCACACUGGAACUGAGACACGGUCCAGACUCCGACGGGAGGCAGCAGUAGGGAAUCUUCCGCAAUGGGCGAAAGCCUGACGGAGCAACGCCGCGUGAGUGAUGAAGGUCUUCGGAUCGUAAAACUCUGUUAUUAGGGAAGAACAAAUGUGUGAGUAACUAUGCACGUCUUGACGGUACCUAAUCAGAAAGCCACGGCUAACUACGUG
rnacentral:rRNA from 1 species